GACGUAGGGCGCGAGCGUUGUCCGGAUUUAUUGGGCGUAAAGAGCUCGUAGGCGGCUUGUUGCGUCGACCGUGAAAACCCGGGGCUCAACUUCGGGCUUGCGGUCGAUACGGGCGGGCUAGAGUUCGGUAGGGGAGACUGGAAUUCCUGGUGUAGCGGUGAAAUGCGCAGAUAUCAGGAGGAACACCGGUGGCGAAGGCGGGUCUCUGGGCCGAUACUGACGCUGAUGCGCGAAAGCGUGGGGAGCAAACGGG
rnacentral:rRNA from 1 species